rnacentral:rRNA from 1 species
AGUGAACGCUGGCGGUAGGCCUAACACAUGCGAGUCGAACGGCAGCACAGUAAGAGCUUGCUCUUACGGGUGGCGAGUGGCGGACGGGUGAGGAAUACAUCGGAAUCUACUUUUUCGUGGGGGAUAACGUAGGGAAACUUACGCUAAUACCGCAUACUACCUACGGGUGAAAGCAGGGGAGCUUCGGACCUUGCGCGAUUGAAUGAGCCGAUGUCGGAUUAGCUAGUUGGCGGGGUAAAGGCCCACCAAGGCGACGAUCCGUAGCUGGUCUGAGAGGAUGAUCAGCCACACUGGAACUGAGACACGGUCCAGACUCCUACGGGAGGCAGCAGUGGGGAAUAUUGGACAAUGGGCGCAAGCCUGAUCCAGCCAUACCGCGUGGGUGAAGAAGGCCUUCGGGUUGUAAAGCCCUUUUGUUGGGAAAGAAAAGCAGCAGGUUAAUACCCCGCUGUUCUGACGGUACCCAAAGAAUAAGCACCGGCUAACUUCGUG